GGGGGUAUAGCUCAGCUGGGAGAGCGUCUGACUGGCAGUCAGAAGGUCAGCGGUUCGAUCCCGCUUAUCUCCACCA
rnacentral:tRNA from 3 species